AUUGAACGCUGGCGGCAGGCCUAACACAUGCAAGUCGAACGAGUGGCGGACGGGUGAGUAAUGUCUGGGAAACUGCCCGAUGGAGGGGGAUAACUACUGUAAACGGUUGCUAAUACCGCAUACCAUCGUCUGUGCCCAGAUGGGAUUAGCUAGUAGGUGGGGUAACGGCUCACCUAGGCGACGAUCCCUAGCUGGUCUGAGAGGAUGACCAGGCAAACUGGAACUGAGACACGGGACAGACGCCUACGGGAGGCAGCAGGGGGGAAUAUUGGACAAGGGGCGGAAGCAUGAUGCAGGCAUGCCGGGUGAAUGAAGAAGGGGGGAGGGUAGUAAAGUACGUUCAGCGAGGAGGCGUUACUCGAAGAAGAAGCACCGGCUAACUACGUGCCAGCAGCCGCGGUAAUUC
rnacentral:rRNA from 1 species